AGUGGACGCUGGCGGUAGGCCUAACACAUGCAAGUCGAACGGCAGCACAGUAAGAGCUUGCUCUUACGGGUGGCGAGUGGCGGACGGGUGAGGAAUACAUCGGAAUCUACUUUUUCGUGGGGGAUAACGUAGGGAAACUUACGCUAGUACCGCAUACGACCUACGGGUGAAAGCAGGGGAUCUUCGGACCUUGCGCGAUUGAAUGAGCCGAUGUCGGAUUAGCUAGUUGGCGGGGUAAAGGCCCACCAAGGCGACGAUCCGUAGCUGGUCUGAGAGGAUGAUCAGCCACACUGGAACUGAGACACGGUCCAGACUCCUACGGGAGGCAGCAGUGGGGAAUAUUGGACAAUGGGCGCAAGCCUGAUCCAGCCAUACCGCGUGGGUGAAGAAGGCCUUCGGGUUGUAAAGCCCUUUUGUUGGGAAAGAAAAGCAGCAGGUUAAUACCCCGCUGUUCUGACGGUACCCAAAGAAUAAGCACCGGCUAACUUCGUG
rnacentral:rRNA from 1 species